CUGAUUGGAAUCUAUUCCAAGUUGGAUAGUGGUGAUAAAAGCUAAAGCAACAAGAUCUAAACAAAUAAACUUGUAUAUCUAACAAAUAUCGAUAACUUGAUGAAUAAAUCUAGACGAAACGACAAUGAUGUGCUGGAAGUUAAAGCCUAGAAAUUACUCGAUAAACACGGAACUUACAAUCCAGCCGGAGAUCAAGAUGAUGUAGCCCUGCUAGCCUGAAAGAACUCGUGAAGAAAAAGAGAACUUUGGCGAAGUCGCCGACUUGAAAGUAAAUUGCGAAUAAAGUAGAUUUGUUUGUUUAUGUGUGUACAUCUUUUUCAGACCUCGCAGGGUCUCUAUUUAUACCCAAGACUCCUAGUCCUAGUCGAUUAUGAUGCAAUACAAUAUCUAUAACCAAAGAAACAAACAUUCUAAACAAAACAACUCGUACAAGAGUCGGAAACGAACUUAGCCUCUAUUAACCAACUCUAUAUCCA
rnacentral:lncRNA from 1 species